rnacentral:rRNA from 1 species
UACGAAGGGGGCAAGCGUUGUUCGGAAUCACUGGGCGUAAAGCGCGCGUAGGCGGAUCAAUAAGUCAGGGGUGAAAGCCCGAGGCUCAACCUCGGAACUGCCUUUGAUACUGUUGAUCUGGAGUCCGGGAGAGGUGAGUGGAACUCCUAGUGUAGAGGUGAAAUUCGUAGAUAUUAGGAAGAACACCAGUGGCGAAGGCGGCUCACUGGCCCGGUACUGACGCUGAUGUGCGAAAGCGUGGGGAGCAAACAGG